rnacentral:rRNA from 1 species
UCGUAGUUGAAUUUCGGGAUUGACACAUCGGUCGUGCCUUAAGGGGUAUGAACUGGUGUAGUCAGUUUCCCACCUUCUGGAGAACCGCGAUGUCCUUAAUUGGGUGCCGCGAGGAACCGGGACCUUUACUUUGAAAAAUUAGAGUGUUUAAAGCAGGCAUUUUGCUUGAAUACAUUAGCAUGGAAUAAUAAAAUAGGACGGAUGGUUCUAUUUUGUUGGUUUCUAGGAUCACCGUAAUGAUUAAUAGGGACAGUUGGGGGUAUUCAUAUUUCGGCGCCUUACGGGAAAC